GGGAAGGUGGCUCAGUGGUAGAGCUCUUGCCUUGCAUGCAUGAGGCCAUGGGUUCGAUUCCUCAGUACCA
rnacentral:tRNA from 1 species